AUGUUAUUAUUCUCUCAGGUCUCACAAUGAAAUCCUCCUUCCUAAUCCAUUAAUACACUCGGCAGCACUUCAGGAUAGAAAUGUACUUGUCAAUACAAAAAAAUAGUGUCUGACUGAGGGGCUGCAACAUGAUGAAAAGAGUUUGCAUAAAUUCUACAUCCUUAUUUUCACUAAAGUUAAAGGGUGACUUUUUCAGCUGCUCAAACUCAGCACAGGAGCCCAGGGAACGUGCCACAGGCUGCAGAAGCCUCUCUGAGACCCUGCUGCCAUUAAAGGAACUAGCAACUUUGGAUAGUGGUUGACAUCUUCUCCAGACAUCACAUCCACUGCUGGGCUCACUGUGGUGCCCUGGGAGUUCACAACAAGCAGAUCAUGUGUCCACAGCAAGGGGUGGAGAAACCUGACCAUGG